UGCGGAAGUAGUUCAGUGGUAGAACAUCACCUUGCCAUGGUGGGGGUCGCGGGUUCGAAUCCCGUCUUCCGC
rnacentral:tRNA from 1 species